GCUUCUGUGGCGCAAUUGGUUAGCGCGUUCGACUGUUAUACUCGGGUUACACAAGGUAACACAAGUUAGCAAUCGAGAGGUUGGCAGUUCAAGCCUGCCCAGGAGCG